GGUUUUUUUUCAUAAUGUAAAUUUAUAUCCAUGAUGCAAUGAAAUUCUAGAAAAAGCAAAAAGUAGUGUACUGUUAUGUCUAGAAAACUCAUUUAUCUAAAUACUAAGGAUUAUUGUAACUUUUAUUAUUUGCAAAUUCAACCUUUUUGUCAUGGGGGUCCAUGAUUUCCAUCCAUGUUGCAAAGACAAUUGACAUCUUCCUAGUGUCACACUAAGCAGAGCUUUCAAAUGUCAAAAACUUAUUAUUAUUCACAAUUCUUCAAUUCCGUGACCCUCAUUUUUUGUAAACAAACAAAAAACGUUAAUUUUUCUAUUUAUAAAUUUUUGACGUAGAAUCAGAUUACAAACCUGAAUUCUGGAAGUGGCAGUGCAGAAUGUAUUUGGCAGAGGAAUCUUCUUCUGCGAUGAUUGAGAUAAUAUAGCCAUGUACAUGUUUAUCAAGCCUGCCAUCAUUCCUAUCUAUUCCAUUGAUCUUAAACACUCCUGAUUUUCUGGUUGCCAUGACAACCUUCAUCAGAAAUCUGGUGAGAUUUCAGAUUAUAAACAUCACACAUGAUGUAUGUCACCUGUUUUUUAAGUUAAAUGUUUUUGAAGUGACUGAUAGGAGGUUCAGUUUCGGUACAAAAUAUUUUAAGUAUAAAUUUUUUUCCUUUUUUUUCCAAAAAUUUUUUUAUUUGAGAUUAUGUGUACUGAACGUUUUUGGAUUCUUUAUAAGACCUUUUUAACAGUUUUGAAAAUUUAAUAUAUAGAUGUAAGCGCAAAUGUGAAAAUUUCAUUAGCCGAAACAAUGGAAAUUACAGAAGUACAUUUAAAUAACAUGUGACCAAAUUUAUCUUUAUUUGUUUUUGUCAAACUGCAAAAAUACUAUCCACAAAACAUAACACAGCAUUCCCAUUAUUCUAUGAAGCGUCAAUAUGUCUGGUUCCAACACAGAAUGAAGUCUUACAAAUUGAUUUUCAAUGUACAUGAAAGUUAUCAUUACUUAUCCCAAAACCUCUGAAGUAUUAUUCUAACUCAAUAUUACUUCCAUGUUCUAACUAACAGAUACUUGAAAGGGCAGUGAAACAUUUAUAAUGUUUACAACAUUUGAUUUCAAAGAAUAUGAUACAAG
rnacentral:lncRNA from 1 species